UACGCUAACCAAUGAAUGCUCGCAAAUUGAUCAAUUUAAACCAAUCAAAAUCGGUAUAUGGACCCAAAUCCUGCGGAAAUUUUAAAGCACUCAAGUGUUAUAAUUUAAGGAAUACCCACGGAAUUUUUUGAAAGUGACACGUUAAUACGUUAGUCGCCCGACUUAGUUGACUAAGUUUAAAUCCGCCUCUGGGCUGAUGAGGAAG